AGCGCCAUCAACAGACCUGGCAGAUAUAGUACAGCGUUUUCAGCCGCUCCAGCGUUUGUAUGUGUACGCAGACAUUUCUUGACACAACGCCGUGAUUAUGAGAUUUUAAAAAGUAGGCUACCGUUUUCGAAAAAGACCGUAUUAGUUGUGUUGAUAAGUUAACUAUAGCACAUAAUCACUUGCUUGCUAAGAGACUGUCGCCACAGGCUUGUGUUGAAAUUACUUGAUAGUAAUGAAUGAACACGAUUGUAUUUUAUAUUCAUGUGCGGUUUUCAUGUCAUGAGGUUAAAUCAUCUUGACACCAUGAAUCUGACUUAUGUAUUGAUAACUCGUCAGCAACGCUAGUUUGGUAAGCGACUACAGCUAUUGACAGAUUACAGUCUGUCUGACCAAUUAUAGAUUGAUUGCACUGACCAAAAGAGCUUGACUACUAAAGUCUAAUUUAUGGUCGGGCUCUGUAAAGUGCCUUGAGACAAUUUUAUUGCCAGACAGAUUAAGGACGACCCCACUCUGCAGAACGAGUCUACUCCUAUGAUACAACUGCUCAACUGCAGGCAUCAUCAGUUGAUGGUAAAAACACUGUUAUCCUGUUUAUGUAAUGAAAUGUGUUAAUUUCAGUGACAUAAAAAUAAUAACUGGUUUAUUUACUUUUACCAUAGCUCCAGCUUAACCAGGUGUGAAGAGUUUAGCAGUGCACCAGCAGAGAGCGGAUGGCCUCUGAAUUGUUCCAGGCCCAGGCCAUGACCGGGGUGGCACAGUGGAACUACCAACGGCUGGUGGACCGUAAGGAGCCAGGUGUCAUCCUCCCUGCUGUGUUUGAUCCAGCUGUAAUGGCUGAGUUGAAGUCUGCCUCCAACAAUCCAUUGGCCAGCCGCUCUCUGCUGGUGCACUGCUAAAGCAGGAGAUGCCAACAGACGACCACCAGGAACCUCCAGCAGCAAUGGAACUCUCACAUGCCCUGCCCCUGCUGCUGAGGUCCUCGGCGAGGAGUGCCCGCACCCAAGACAGCUGGACGGGUUUUUUGUGUUGGACAAAACACGCUGGACGCCACCCAUGAAAGAUGCUAUUGACUGCAUGCUGCACAUGGUCCAUCGGUCUGCCACAGAUCCCAACAGCUUGCUGCACCCCUCGACCAGGUUGCACAUAUCCUGCUAUGUGAAGCACCUGGCAAAAUUCCUUAACACGUUCGUCUUUAAACACAAGCAAGGAAAAACUUCUGGAGACUCAGCAGCUGUGGCACUCUAUAACAGAGGGGAGUGAGACGGCUACUGUUCCUGUGGUCACUAUGGUGCCGGCUAUUGUCAAUUCACCUGCACCUCCCCUGUCCACACCUCUGACACAAGGCUCAAUUGAGAAAAUUGUGGAAGGCAUCUUUGAGAAGCAGCAGCACCAGCCAGAACAGAACAGAACAGAAGACAGACAAAGACCUGUCUUGCCUGUGGACAGCCCGUCUUGAUAUGAGACUGAUGAAGGAGCUAUUAUUGCUUUAUUGUGUUCCAGAAAUCUCACAUGCUCUGUCCCUGCUGUUGAGGUCCUCGCCAUGGCGAGAGUGCACAUUCACAUUUGUUGUACACACACGCACACAGUACUCCCUUGAUUACAGUCAUUUGGAGCACAG
rnacentral:lncRNA from 1 species